UGCACAAUGACUCUCGGCAACGGAUAUCUCGGCUCUUGCAUCGAUGAAGAAUGUAGCGAAAUGCGAUACUUGGUGUGAAUUGCAGAAUCCCGUGAACCAUCGAGUCUUUGAACGCAAGUUGCGCCCGAAGCCAUUAGGUCGAGGGCACGUCUGCCUGGGCGUCACA
rnacentral:rRNA from 1 species